rnacentral:rRNA from 1 species
GAAUCUGACUUGGGGUAAACCCGUGUCCGAGUUGUGCACUAUGGACGCUUUGUCUGCGUAUGUAACGGCGGUGGAAGUCCGUUGAAACACGGCACCUCAGAGGGUCACAGUCCUGUACCACCUGCCUGCACUCGCGCCAAUGACAAGCAAUCCUCGAGUCGCGUAGUUUUGUAAUGCUGCGCCAAGUGGGAGGUAGAGACCUUCUAAGGCUAAAUAUGAUGACGUGACCGAUAGCACACAAGUACCGCGAGGGAAAGGUGAAAAGCAACCAUGAAAAAUGGGUUGAAACAGUAGUGAAAGCGCUUCCGGGAUAAGGGCUAUCGGGUGCUGGGGCUCUUGGGGUGUGCUUUAGUGCUACCCCUUGAGACGGCCCGCGCGGGUUGAUGUUGGGGCGAUAGACGCGCCGUUGGAAUUCGGCUGUCUUCGGGCAGUGUUGUAGCCUUCGGUUGCUGAUCCUCCUGCGACCUUGUGUGAAUGCGGGUCUUGUGACCGUUAGCCGCCCGUCUUGAAACACGGACCAAGGAGUGCACCUUGCAUGCGAGUCGAAGGGAAUUGAAACCUGGAGGCGUAGCGAACGCGACGAUGGGGAAUGUCCUUGUGGCAGACACCCGCACCCGCCUUGUGCGAGGUAGAGCAUGUACGGUGCGACCCGAAAGAUGGUGAACUAUGCCCGGGUAAGGUGAAGCCAGUGGAAACGCUGGUGGAGGCCUGUAGCGAUUCUGACGUGCAAA